AUGAACGCUGGCGGCGUGCCUAAUACCUGCAAGUCGAGCGAACAGACGAGGAGCUUGCUCCUCUGACGUUAGCGGCGGACGGGUGAGUAACACGUGGAUAACCUACCUAUAAGACUGGGAUAACUUCGGGAAACCGGAGCUAAUACCGGAUAAUAUAUUGAACCGCAUGGUUCAAUAGUGAAAGACGGUUUUGCUGUCACUUAUAGAUGGAUCCGCGCCGCAUUAGCUAGUUGGUAAGGUAACGGCUUACCAAGGCGACGAUGUGUAGCCGACCUGAGAGGGUGAUCGGCCACACUGGAACUGAGACACGGUCCAGACUCCUACGGGAGGCAGCAGUAGGGAAUCUUCCGCAAUGGGCGAAAGCCUGACGGAGCAACGCCGCGUGAGUGAUGAAGGUCUUCGGAUCGUAAAACUCUGUUAUUAGGGAAGAACAAAUGUGUAAGUAACUAUGCACGUCUUGACGGUACCUAAUCAGAAAGCCACGGCUAACUACGUG
rnacentral:rRNA from 1 species